CCUACAUACUGCAACAAUGACAUCAUACCUGUCUCUGGCUUUGCUGCUAUGUGUCCUGCUGCCACAGUCAAACGGUUCUUGCUUUGUCUCGGUGCUCGAACCAGGUGCAACCCGUUGCCUGGAUGAAGUCGAUAAUAAAUGGCACCCGGUUGGCACUUCUUGGAGAAACAGUGAUUGCAUGGAUUGUUCCUGCAGCGGGUGUUGCACUGGGUUUGCCAUUCCCAGACGGUUCCCUGAUGACUGCGUAUCUGUGUUCGACAAAGCGAAAUGUGAAUACAGCGUUCAUAGGAGAGAUGACCCAUCUAUUGAAUGUCCAGUUUUUGGUUCAGUAGGGAAGUGACAAAUAAGCAAUAUCCCACGCUAAAAAAAAAUGCAUUUUGUACUAUUUGUCUUAUGAUGGGAAGGUCAAGGUUGAAGGUCAUGAACAAAUAAAAGCUGCAUGCAGCCAGUUCCAGUCA